UAACGAUUUGGGCACUGUCUCAACGAGAGACUCGGUGAAAUCAUAGUACCUGUGAAGAUGCAGGUUACCCGCGACAGGACGGAAAGACCCCGUGGAGCUUUACUGUAGCCUGAUAUUGAAAUUCGGCACAGCUUGUACAGGAUAGGUAGGAGCCAUUGAAACGUGAGCGCUAGCUUACGUGGAGGCGUUGGUGGGAUACUACCCUAGCUGUGUUGGCUUUCUAACCCGCACCACUUAUCGUGGUGGGAGACAGUGUC
rnacentral:rRNA from 1 species